rnacentral:rRNA from 1 species
AUACGGAGGGAGCAAGCGUUAUUCGGAAUCACUGGGCGUAAAGGACGCGUAGGCGGGUUUGUAAGUCAGGUGUGAAAUCCUACAGCUCAACUGUAGAACUGCACUUGAAACUACAGACCUAGAGUAUGGAAGGGGCAGAUGGAAUUAGUGGUGUAGGGGUAAAAUCCGUAGAUAUCACUAGGAAUACCGAAAGCGAAGGCGUUCUGCUGGGACAUUACUGACGCUGAGGCGUGAAAGCGUGGGGAGCAAACAGGAUUAGAAACCCUAGUAGUCC